CAGAGGGGGCAAGCGUUAUUCGGAAUUAUUGGGCGUAAAGGGCGCGUAGGCGGCUUGGCAAGUGGAAGGUGAAAUCCCUCGGCUUAACCGAGGAACUGCCCUCCAAACUGCUUUGCUUGAGGCCGGGAGAGGUGAGUGGAAUUCCCAGUGUAGCGGUGAAAUGCGUAGAUAUUGGGAGGAACACCAGUGGCGAAGGCGGCUCACUGGACCGGUUCUGACGCUGAGGCGCGAAAGCGUGGGGAGCAAACGGGAUUAGAUACCCCGGUAGUCCACGCCGUAAACGAUGAGUGCUUGGUGUAGCGGGUAUCGACCCCUGCUGUGCCGAAGUCAACACAUUAAGCACUCCGCCUGGGGAGUACGGUCGCAAGGCUG
rnacentral:rRNA from 1 species